rnacentral:rRNA from 1 species
UACGUAGGGCGCAAGCGUUAUCCGGAAUUAUUGGGCGUAAAGAGCUCGUAGGCGGUUUGUCGCGUCUGCCGUGAAAGUCCGGGGCUCAACUCCGGAUCUGCGGUGGGUACGGGCAGACUAGAGUGAUGUAGGGGAGACUGGAAUUCCUGGUGUAGCGGUGAAAUGCGCAGAUAUCAGGAGGAACACCGAUGGCGAAGGCAGUCUGCUGGGGAUCUGCUGACGCUGAGACACGAAAGCCAGGGGAGCGAACGGG